UACGAAGGGGGCUAGCGUUGCUCGGAAUCACUGGGCGUAAAGGGUGCGUAGGCGGGUCUUUAAGUCAGGGGUGAAAUCCUGGAGCUCAACUCCAGAACUGCCUUUGAUACUGAGGAUCUUGAGUUCGGGAGAGGUGAGUGGAACUGCGAGUGUAGAGGUGAAAUUCGUAGAUAUUCGCAAGAACACCGGUGGCGAAGGCGGCAUCCUGGACCGGCAUUGACGCUGAGUGAGCGAAAGCCAGGGGAGCAAAGCGGG
rnacentral:rRNA from 1 species